rnacentral:lncRNA from 1 species
CCAGAUAGUUUAUCUAUUGCAAUAGGUUGGUUAUCUAUUGCAUUAUGCCGAUCUAUCUAAUCUAAGUCUAAUCUGUUGCAACAGCAGAAGACCUGUUUGAUUUCAACAGAUGACCUAAAUUUUACAACAUAUGCCUAAAUCUGUUUGAUAUUUUGCAAUAAUUACGCUAGAAUAUCCAUGUGCUCGACAACACCAAACCAGUAGCAAAUACACCAACAUGAAAAUUUUAGCAAUUAGGCUUGAAAAUCCAUGUGCUCAACACCACCAAACCAGUAGCAAUAACGGCAACAAUGUAGUAUCUUCUAGCUCGAUUUUGUUUCACUUUCGAAGCCUUGACUUUCUUCAACGAACCCCAUAUUAUACGAUUUGCUUAUGAAGGAUGUCGUUCUUCAUACCAAUCAAAGUAAUCGUAUCCACCCAAUUUCUAUAAAAACAAGAACAUAAUUAUAAGUCAUUAAUUAAUCAAUUAUAAAUUAAAAAAAUAAUACCUUUGAAAUCUAACAAGUAAAAAAUCUACGACCUAAAUUUUAUUGAGUACAAGAAGUCUUCAAUAGAGCUUCAUGACCGCACUUACAAUAUCAAAAAUCGUUAUCACAAAAAACAGUGAAAGAUGCGCUCGGCAUUGUCAAGCUCAGUUGAAAAAAAAAAGAUGAAGAAAAGAAAGACCAAAUGCAAAUAAUUUGAAGAAUUUGAAUAGAUAAAAAAAAUGACAACGAAAAAGAAGAUUUGGGGAUUCAGGGUUAGAUUUUAGAAAGAAGAUGAAUAUAUAAGACACUGGGGGA